UACAAGAGUGGAGGACAGGUCUUGGGGGAAGAGAGGAUAGAACUGACGUGGAGAGAGCAGCUAGGAGCUCUGGUGGGUGCAGAGGGGAGACACGGGUGGCUUUGGUUAGGGCGGUGCCAGUGCCCAUGGAGAGGAUUGGUUGGUUUCUCAGGGGCGGUGUAAUUGGAGACAAAAACCCAAGAGGACACAGUGGAAGUCUGAAUAUAGGGCAGAGAGUAGAAAGUUUUGCAGAUGAAAUCCGGCUUGACGGCAUAUAAAUUGCUCCUAACCAGGCUGUUUACAUGUAAUUGGAACAUGUUUACGUUAAGUGGAACAUUUUUCAAAGGAGGACCCGCCAGCUCUUGUGUAUUGUGGCCGGCCAAGAGCACAGCUGCCUCCAGGGGGAUGCAGUUGCUUCAUACCGCGAACCCCAGACGUGACUCGUGACUCGGGAGGAGUUUACAGACCCCAGGUUCACGUCUGUGGGUGGCCAACCACGCUGACGCUCCUCUCGGCGGACUCUCCCUAGCAUUCUUUGUAGCAAAGAGGCUGCCUCUCAACCCAAAGCCCGGCGGAGAGGGGGCUGGCCUGAGAGCGAGGAGCUGACGCACGAUGUAAGUCACCCACUAGUGUGUGUAACUGAUUUGUGUGUGCUCGCUGCCUUCAAGAGCCAGGGAACGACAGCUACGGUACGAAACUGAACUGUGAAAAUGAAGAUGCAUUGCAAGUUUGAACUCAGGUGAAUCAGAGAACAGAGAAAUGCAAAGAUCCAUUUUAGAAGAACCGAACUGCCAGGGGACAAGUGCAAGUCUGACACAUUAAGCCACCUGGCGGUAUGUACAUACGCCACUGCUCAAUAAUGACCUAAUAUCUGGGAGAAAAAAUAUCCUGGCCUCUAUGUCCUUGGAGGUGUACACCAAAGAGGUGGAGAAUGACUUUGGAAAGGGUCCUGCCUGCUCUAACUUUACAGGACCAACACUGGCUGUCUUCAGUGUCUCUGCGGGGUACACGUGAGCCCCACUUUCCCGAGUGUCACGUAAAGAAACCUUGGGUGCAGGCAGGAAGGUCAGUCCAACGCGGUCUAAGUUCACAAAGUAAAAACACACAAAUGACAGGACCACCAGGUUUAGAAAAUGUCCUAAAAUGUGCAAUUUAUUCCACAUCAUCAUACAACGUUUACAUAUAGUUAUAAUUCUUAAGAAAAUGUUUUUUCUUCACCAAUUUCAUGUAGUGCCUCAAUCUGUCACUUUAACAUGGAGAUUUGGAAAGAGUGAAAAUCCGCAUGGAGUUCUCCUCUGCAGAGCUGUAAUGGACUUCCAGUGUGCCCGUCAGAAAGGACCUGAAGUCUUAAAAAAGCAGCUUGGCUUUCGAACCCUUGGCUUUUGUGACUACCGCUAUCUGGGACCCAAAGUCUCAUCUCAUAGUAAAACUCACGACAAAAUAAAUUAGCAUUGGACAGAAUCCUAAAUUGUACAAUGUCGAACAAAAGACCACAGGGGGACCUUCUGUUUAAAGUAGCACCGAUCCACACCUGGCUGUGUCUCCACAUCCAUCCUCCUGUUGCCCUCCCGUUGGCACUUUGAGUGGAAAUCCUUCCUGCUUCGGUGAGAAUCCUACACGGAUUAAGCAAACUGUGUGGCUAAACUCUACGAAGUGUGGCAACGUCACCCCGGGAAAUGGCACAUUGGAACCCUUAGCGCCCCGACAGAGGCUUUGCCUUUGUGUUUUCCCCCGCCCCCUGCUCUAGCUGAUACUUUGUUCUGUGCCAGUGGUAAAAGUAAAUAAAAAUGCAUUUAAGGAGUUUCACGGUAAGCAGGUGUUAAAAACAAAAAAA